ACACGGACCAAGGAGUGCAACAUGCGUGCGAGUCUUUGGGUGGCAAACCCGUCGGCGCAAUGAAAGUGAAGGCAGGUGUAGGCCUGCUGUGGCGAGAGCCUUUCCUCCGGGAGGCGCAUCGUCGACCGAUCCCGGGCUACGCUGUGGCGGGAUUUGAGUGAGAGCGUGCCUGUUGCGACCCGAAAGAUGGUGAACUAUGCCUGAAUAGGGUGAAGCCAGAGGAAACCCUGGUGGAAGCUCGCAGCGAUUCUGACGUGCAAAUCGAUCGUCAAAUUUGGGUAUAGGGGCGAAAGACUAAUCGAACCGUCUAGUAGCUGGUUCCCUCCGAAGUUUCCCUCAGGAUAGCUGGAGCCCGGUGCAGUUUUAUCAGGUAAAGCGAAUGAUUAGAGGUCUUGGGGCUGAAACGGCUUCAACCUAUUCUCAAACUUUAAAUGGGUAAGAAGCCCGGCUUGCUCGGUUGAAGUCGGGCGCGGAAUGCCGGGGCUCCCAGUGGGCCAUUUUUGGUAAGCAGAACUGGCGAUGUGGGAUGAACCGAAAGUCGGGUUAAGGUGCCGGAAUCGACGCUCAUCAGAUCCCAUGAAAGGUGUUGGUUGAUACAGACAGCAGGACGGUGGCCAUGGAAGUCGGAAUCCGCUAAGGAGUGUGUAACAACU
rnacentral:rRNA from 1 species